CUGCUGCUCAAGGUUGUCCGGAGCACCUGCCUGACAGAAAUACAAUGCUGGGCGACUUAUGAUAAAGUUUGUUUCUCGGUGGGAAGGCGACCUGGUCUGGCUGGAAGGCGUGUUAGGGGCACUUGACAGGAGAUGUUCUAGGAUUCGAAGGCCGGACAAAAAUUGCAGACGAGGACACUGUUCAAUGACAGCGGGACACAGCGGAAACGCAUCAAAGCAAACGGAUGGAGGUGUGUGUGCU